rnacentral:rRNA from 1 species
AGAGUUUGAUCAUGGCUCAGAUUGAACGCUGGCGGCAGGCCUAACACAUGCAAGUCGAACGGUAACAGGAAGCAGCUUGCUGCUUUGCUGACGAGUGGCGGACGGGUGAGUAAUGUCUGGGAAACUGCCUGAUGGAGGGGGAUAACUACUGGAAACGGUAGCUAAUACCGCAUAACGUCGCAAGACCAAAGAGGGGGACCUUCGGGCCUCUUGCCAUCGGAUGUGCCCAGAUGGGAUUAGCUAGUAGGUGGGGUAAAGGCUCACCUAGGCGACGAUCCCUAGCUGGUCUGAGAGGAUGACCAGCCACACUGGAACUGAGACACGGUCCAGACUCCUACGGGAGGCAGCAGUGGGGAAUAUUGCACAAUGGGCGCAAGCCUGAUGCAGCCAUGCCGCGUGUAUGAAGAAGGCCUUCGGGUUGUAAAGUACUUUCAGCGGGGAGGAAGGGAGUAAAGUUAAUACCUUUGCUCAUUGACGUUACCCGCAGAAGAAGCACCGGCUAACUCCGUGCCAGCAGCCGCGGUAAUACGGAGGGUGCAAGCGUUAAUCGGAAUUACUGGGCGUAAAGCGCACGCAGGCGGUUUGUUAAGUCAGAUGUGAAAUCCCCGGGCUCAACCUGGGAACUGCAUCUGAUACUGGCAAGCUUGAGUCUCGUAGAGGGGGGUAGAAUUCCAGGUGUAGCGGUGAAAUGCGUAGAGAUCUGGAGGAAUACCGGUGGCGAAGGCGGCCCCCUGGACGAAGACUGACGCUCAGGUGCGAAAGCGUGGGGAGCAAACAGGAUUAGAUACCCUGGUAGUCCACGCCGUAAACGAUGUCGACUUGGAGGUUGUGCCCUUGAGGCGUGGCUUCCGGAGCUAACGCGUUAAGUCGACCGCCUGGGGAGUACGGCCGCAAGGUUAAAACUCAAAUGAAUUGACGGGGGCCCGCACAAGCGGUGGAGCAUGUGGUUUAAUUCGAUGCAACGCGAAGAACCUUACCUGGUCUUGACAUCCACGGAAGUUUUCAGAGAUGAGAAUGUGCCUUCGGGAACCGUGAGACAGGUGCUGCAUGGCUGUCGUCAGCUCGUGUUGUGAAAUGUUGGGUUAAGUCCCGCAACGAGCGCAACCCUUAUCCUUUGUUGCCAGCGGUCCGGCCGGGAACUCAAAGGAGACUGCCAGUGAUAAACUGGAGGAAGGUGGGGAUGACGUCAAGUCAUCAUGGCCCUUACGACCAGGGCUACACACGUGCUACAAUGGCGCAUACAAAGAGAAGCGACCUCGCGAGAGCAAGCGGACCUCAUAAAGUGCGUCGUAGUCCGGAUUGGAGUCUGCAACUCGACUCCAUGAAGUCGGAAUCGCUAGUAAUCGUGGAUCAGAAUGCCACGGUGAAAAUGCUUGACUCUGUAGCGGGAAAGCGUAUUAUGCACACCCCGCGCCGCUGAGAAAAAGCGAAGCGGCACUGCUCUUUAACAAUUUAUCAGACAAUCUGUGUGGGCACUCGAAGAUACGGAUUCUUAACGUCGCAAGACGAAA